GCCGACGUGGCAGAAUCCGGUAUCGCGCCAGACUUGAGAUCUGGUGCCCUUCGGGGCUUAGGAGUUCAAAUCUCCUCGUCGGCG
rnacentral:tRNA from 1 species